UGUACUUUGCUUCCUCUCAUUUCCACAGUUGUUGCUUUAUUUCAUAUUGCUUUUGGCAUUUUAUUUGGUAAUUGAGAUAUCUAAAACCCAUUCUUGGUUAUUUAUUCAGUUCCACAAUUUUUAUGUGCACUACAUCACCCUCUGCUUUAAAUUCUCUUCCAACAGGCUCUGAUCAGGAGAUUUCCUUGUGAGCUUUCUUUUCUGUGGCUUAGCUUGGAAGCAAAGGUAGCCUUAGGCAUGCAGACCCUCACAGAAACAUGCAACUGGUGGAAGAGAGACAGGAGGAAGCCCUAGGUCCACAGAGCAAGGAGCUGCAGUUGCUACUUUCUGUGAGCCUUUUUUCUCCUCCCUUGCUAGGGUAUUUACACGAACAAGGACAGAACAAAAACCUAAGGGGAGGGAACAAUGACAUGGAAGCAGGCUUGAAAACAGCAAAGCUUUUGAUGCAGUUAGGAAGCUCAGACAGACACCUACAGCCCUCAGCAUGCCAAAAGCUACUUUCUUACCUACAGCUAUAUUUGUCCCCCUGUGAGUGUAUAAUGCCUGGGAAUCACAGAGGGUGUUUGUAUCUUGUCCAGUUUUCCAUUCAGACCAGCCCACAGCAUGUUUUCAUAUCCUAUCCAGCUCUGCAUUCCUGCCAGGGGCUGGGAAACAUGCUGUCACAUAGGCUUCUGGAAAGGGAGAAAGAGCAGAUAGACGGUGCUCAUCAGGAAGCUGUGACCAGUGUAAUCACUGCUGCAGAUGGAACGGUGUCUCCAAAACAGGAUCAAAGAGAGAAUGAGAGCAUUCCUGUCAUGGCAACCAUUAUCACAGGAAGCCUGGACGGCUGAGAUGGCAGAGUAUAUUGAAACCACAAUAGGAAAGAGAUGCAGCUUUUGACAUUGAUGCCCAUCUCCGGGUGCUAAUUGUGGGAAGGAAGGACUAAUUGGAGGUUGCCGGCUACAUAAGGGACUCAGAGAGAUUUCUCCUGGUUUCAUCUGGCAUGUGAAGACAUCUCUCUUUGCAAGGCUGAGUUCAGUUCAUAACUGUUAAAACAUCCCAGGAAGAUCUUUUUUGAAACAGUGUUUUUCAGCAUCUUUCUUGACAUCCAGAACCUCUCUUCUCAGCUUUACCUUCUGACCUCAAGAAGGAAAUGGAAAACCCAAAAAAACAUCACAAUGUAAACCUAACCUUCCCUGAGAAGCUGCGUCUGUGCUGCUGGCUGAACAGCUGAUUAUGGUUUACCUGAACUAUACACUAAUCCACUUACUCAGACUUUAUGUAUAAUAUAGCAAUGUUUGUUGGCAUUGUCUCAUUUUACUGUUUGUACCAAGAUUAUUCAAUUAAAAUUAUUCUUAUUGCAGAUACCUUAAAGCCUGAUCUCAUAGAAAAGAGGGGAUGUAGCCAUAAGCAGACACCCUAGCCUAAAUUGGUGACUAGUGGGGAAAGUAUUCCUCAUAAAAAUUAUACUCUUUCAGUACUGAAUGCUAGAACAAAAAGUACACUGCCCACAUAUUUGCACAAGACAGGCAUCUAAAUCACCAUUCAAAGCCAGGUCAAAGGUGAAUCUCAUAAAUCUAAAUCCAAAGCCGGAUUUGCACAGCUCUAAAUUUAAUUCACUACACCAGCAAAUGCUCUCAAGAGCUCAGACAUCUUGAACACACUGCUGUAGAUUUGAAGUCCAGGCCACCAGACUGUUUUUUCCAAACAGCUCUGCAGCAGCAGCAACAGUAAAUUGUGAGUGUGUGAUGGAGUUGUGCAUCUUUAUCAUUUUUUUAACUAUCAAGUUUUUCUUUCCACAGGAGAUUCUUUGUGACGCUGGUGAUCAGAGUAAAGGAAUUCAUGUAUCUGGCUAUGUAACAAUCUACAAAGGCAGUAGAGAGGGCACAAUAAAAACCAUAACAGCCAAACUAGAAGGAGAAUAUGUCUAACAUGUGAGAAGUUUGGAUAAGCAACGUACAGCACAGCAACCAAAUGUUUGUGGAGCUUUUGCCAGACAGACAAACUCUGGAAUAAAAAUACAGUAUUAGAUCCAGUUCUUGUGUUCCUCCACUACUUGGUUAAAGGCUUUUGACUCCAACAGCUUCUGCUGCUGCUAUAAAGCUGCAGGACUGUUUUGCACGAUGACAGGGCAAGAUGAGUGAGGAAAUUAGUAACGGGUUACAGAGCCUUUCACCUUGGAGGUUACUGGCUUAAAUACAGCUUAUUGCUAUCAGCUAUUAAACUUUGCCCUGAAUUUGCACAAGUGAAACCCAAGUAUCUGGCAGCACCAUGUAGUACCAAUUAUAAUUUGCAGAGCCCCCUGUUCCUCUGCCCAUGUACAAAGGCAACAGCAGCUCAGCUAGAAUGAGCCCAGCUGCAGAAUGAAGUGUGAUGCGGAGAGGAGGACUCUAGAAUGCAUUUUUGGCACGGGAAAGAUGGGAAAAAGAUUAUGUAUGAAAAUACCGUACUACUCAAAAAGCAGAAAGUCCAAAAUUCAAACACUGGGGGAUAUUGUUACAGAAAUCUGUUGCAAAGGAAUUGCAGUCUUUUAGGGUAGCAACAGAAAUGUCACCUUAUUUUUUUCCAUUGAGUGCUGUACCCUGUAGGGAUGUUCAAAAUCAGAUCUUACACAUGACAGUUUCUAUACUGCAUCUGGACUGGUUUCUUUUUCAUGCAUCUGUACAAGAAAUGAAAUUAUCAAACUUCUUAAUGGAAUUGGAAGUGCCAAAAUAGCUGGUGCCAGAAUAGCAAAAUAUUUUGUCCAAACUUUUCAAGCUAAAUGAAAUUAUUCAGAAUAUCUGAGCCAAAACAUCUCUGCUUUCUUUUUAAUUUUCUUUUAAUUGGUGACCUCAAGCCAGUGAGCCCUGACUCCUCUGCAUUUUGUGCAUGGCCCUUCCUGAAGGCUGUAAACUGUCUUAGCACAGGCCUGGCCACAGGAAAGAAAAGGCAGUGAGAAAUGCACCUUGGCCCUUGCCACCACUUCACUCCACAGUCAUCCCCCAAAAACGGGGACGGUAAAAGCCAUUCCAAGCCUACCUUCCCCUUGCAUCAGCUCUACCACUGCAGGACAGAAGAGCUACAGCUGUGACUUGGCCUUUGCUAGCAUUUCUGUAAUGAGGGUUGCUCACGGAAUUACUUACCUCGCAAAAGCCUUAGAAGUCAAAUACUCUUUCUAAUGGACUAUUAAAGUUACCAGGACAUUGAUGCUGAGAUGGAAGCAGUUGCAUUAUCCCUUUACAAGGCAUAAAAUGAUUUUACUGAUCCACUCUCAAUAACAGAAGUCCCAUUUUGACAUAUUUACUUCCAGCCAGGGAGCAUGUGACAAAAAUCGUAUGAGAAACUUGCUGCCUCUCUGCUCUAGGUGGGCGGGAUGGGUGGCUUCCCCCAGGGGUGCUCUGAGAGCAGAAAAAGAUGUAUUUAUCAUGAAAAUCAGAUACCCAUGGUCUAUGAACAUGUGGCAUGCUGCUGAAGUCUUUACAAAACUGGAUUAGAAAGAGAUAGAAAUUUAGUAAGAAAAAGUCUAGGAAGAAAAGGGAAAACAAAUUUCUAUCUGGCCUAUAUCUGACUAUCUAACCACUCUUCUCAUGGACGUUGUCUCACCCUUGUACUAUACAUAGAAUUGAUCCUGAGAAAUCCGAUGUGUUCAUUGUGUGUUGCUGGAGGAUAAUGAGCUGUAUGAGUCGUGGGAGAGUGGAUAAUAAACACAGUGGGUUUUCCUAGUAUUUCUGAUCAACAGCUUACUGAUACUGCAGCUUAUACUUAAGAACAUUACCAUUUUAGAGUGCAAGAAGCUUGCUUGAACUCUUGUCCCUCUCUCUGUGUUCUCUUGAUAAUUUCCAAUUAUAUCUUCUUGAUAACUAAUUCCAUUAUUAUUAUUCAGUGAAGUGUUUGUAAUUUUAUUUUCUUAUUAUUUUGUAAGGACCAAAGAAAUUUUCAGCUAUUGUUUUUUAUAAGGUGAUACAUUACUGUCUACAGAAAAAAUAGUUAGUUGUAAUUGUGUCUUUCCUGUAACAAGUGAGGUUUUGUUCUUUCAUUCAUUUCAGAUUCUCCCUCAUUUACUGUUUCUGUUGUUACCAGACUUCAGGAGAACUCCAAUUCUUCAAAUAUUUGUGUUAGAGUAAGUAGUUGAAUCCAAACUCUGUGAGGAAGGAAGCAGAGAGAAAUUAAAAGAUGCAAUAAAUGCCUCCAAAGAGCGAGUGAACAGCCUUGACAGACUCAAA